GCCGCCCCCUGCGAGCCGUGGUGGUCGCGGCGCGCUGGCCCGCCCUCGCCAGAUCCGCUGCAAGCCUCGCGGACUCCACAUUCCACGGCCCUCGGAUUCUUCGCGGACAGUCUCUUUUAACCUCUUACAACCAUGUCAGAUGAUGAGGAAGUCUACUCUGAGGAGGAGGAAGAGGAGGUUGAGGUGUAA